GUGCUUGCUUCGGCAGCACAUAUACUAAAAUUGGAGCAAUACAGAGAUUACCGGGGCCCCUGCAAAAGGAUGACACGCAAAUUGUGAAGCGUUCCAUAUUUUU
rnacentral:snRNA from 1 species